GAUGAACGGUGGCGGCGUGCCUAAUACAUGCAAGUCGAGCGAACGGACGAGAAGCUUGCUUCUCUGAUGUUAGCGGCGGACGGGUGAGUAACACGUGGAUAACCUACCUAUAAGACUGGGAUAACUUCGGGAAACCGGAGCUAAUACCGGAUAAUAUUUUGAACCGCAUGGUUCAAAAGUGAAAGACGGUCUUGCUGUCACUUAUAGAUGGAUCCGCGCUGCAUUAGCUAGUUGGUAAGGUAACGGCUUACCAAGGCAACGAUGCAUAGCCGACCUGAGAGGGUGAUCGGCCACACUGGAACUGAGACACGGUCCAGACUCCUACGGGAGGCAGCAGUAGGGAAUCUUCCGCAAUGGGCGAAAGCCUGACGGAGCAACGCCGCGUGAGUGAUGAAGGUCUUCGGAUCGUAAAACUCUGUUAUUAGGGAAGAACAUAUGUGUAAGUAACUGUGCACAUCUUGACGGUACCUAAUCAGAAAGCCACGGCUAACUACGUG
rnacentral:rRNA from 1 species